rnacentral:snoRNA from 1 species
AUGGAAGUGAGGAUUAUUUCCCCAGAUGAUCGAAACUGAACAAACUGAGCGAUUGAUUUCUCUUUUUAAGAGUAUAUCCAAAGCCUUUUUUCUGAUCCAU